AUGGCUCAGGAUGAACGCUGGCGGCGUGCCUAACACAUGCAAGUCAAACGAAGCUUGACGGAUGAUUUCUUCGGAGUGAAACCUGAUAUGACUUAGUGGCGGACGGGUGAGUAACACGUGAGCAACCUGCCUUUCAGAGGGGGAUAACGGCUGGAAACGGUCGCUAAUACCGCAUGACGUGUUCGGAUGGCAUCAUCUGAACAUCAAAGAUUUAUCGCUGAAAGAUGGGCUCGCGUCUGAUUAGAUAGUUGGUGGGGUAACGGCCUACCUAGUCUACGAUCAGUAGCCGGACUGAGAGGUUGAACGGCCACAUUGGGACUGAGAUACGGCCCAGACUCCUACGGGAGGCAGCAGUGGGGAAUAUUGCACAAUGGGGGAAACCCUGAUGCAGCAACGCCGCGUGAAGGAUGACGGUUUUCGGAUUGUAAACUUCUUUUUUUAGUGACGAAGACAGUGACGGUAGCUAAGGAAUAAGCAUCGGCUAACUACGUGCCAGCAGCCGCGGUAAUACGUAGGAUGCAAGCGUUAUCCGGAUUUACUGGGUGUAAAGGGAGCGCAGGCGGGACUGCAAGUUGGAUGUGAAAUACCGUGGCUUAACCACGGAACUGCAUCCAAAACUGUAGUUCUUGAGUGAAGUAGAGGCAAGCGGAAUUCCGAGUGUAGCGGUGAAAUGCGUAGAUAUUUGGGGGAACACCAGUGGCGAAGGCGGCUUGCUGGGCUUUAACUGACGCUGAGGCUCGAAAGUGUGGGGAGCAAACAGGAUUAGAUACCCUGGUAGUCCACACUGUAAACGAUGAUAGCUAGGUGUGGGGGGUCUGACCCCUUCCGUGCCGGAGUUAACGCAAUAAGCUAUCCACCUGGGGAGUACGACCGCAAGGUAGCA
rnacentral:rRNA from 1 species